AUUGAACGCUGGCGGAAUGCUUUACACAUGCAAGUCGAGCGGCAGCGCGGGGCAACCUGGCGGCGAGCGGCGAACGGGUGAGUAAUACAUCGGAACGUGCCCAGACGUGGGGGAUAACUACUCGAAAGAGUGGCUAAUACCGCAUACGAUCUGAGGAUGAAAGCGGGGGAUCGCAAGACCUCGCGCGUCUGGAGCGGCCGAUGGCAGAUUAGGUAGUUGGUGAGGUAAAGGCUUACCAAGCCUGCGAUCUGUAGCUGGUCUGAGAGGAUGAUCAGCCACACUGGGACUGAGACACGGCCCAGACUCCUACGGGAGGCAGCAGUGGGGAAUUUUGGACAAUGGGCGAAAGCCUGAUCCAGCCAUUCCGCGUGCAGGAUGAAGGCCCUCGGGUUGUAAACUGCUUUUGUACGGAACGAAAAAGCUCCGGCUAAUACCUGGAGUCCAUGACGGUACCGUAAGAAUAAGCACCGGCUAACUACGUGCCAGCCGCCGCGGUAAAAC
rnacentral:rRNA from 1 species